UACGUAGGGUGCGCGCGUUAAUCGGAAUUACUGGGCGUAAAGCGUGCGCAGGCGGUUUUAUAAGACCGGUGUGCAAUCCCCGGGCUCCACCUGGGAAUGGCCUUUGUGACUGUAAGACUAGAGUACGGUAGAGGGGGAUGGAAUUCCGCGUGUAGCAGUGAAAUGCGUAGAUAUGCGGAGGAAGACCGAUGGCGAAGGCAAUCCCCUGGACCUGUACUGACGCUCAUGCACGGAAGCGUGGGGAGCAAACAGG
rnacentral:rRNA from 1 species